rnacentral:rRNA from 1 species
UACGGAGGGUGCAAGCGUUAAUCGGAAUUACUGGGCGUAAAGCGCACGUAGGCGGUUUGCUAAGCCAGCUGUGAAAUCCCCGGGCUCAACCUGGGCACUGCAGUUGGAACUGGCAAGCUAGAGUAGGGUAGAGGGGUGUGGAAUUCCAGGUGUAGCGGUGAAAUGCGUAGAUAUCUGGAGGAACAUCAGUGGCGAAGGCGACACCCUGGACUCAUACUGACACUGAGGUGCGAAAGCGUGGGGAGCAAACAGG